UACGUAGGGGGCAAGCGUUGUCCGGAUUUAUUGGGCGUCAAGAGCUCGUAGGCGGCUCGGUAAGUCGGAUGUGAAACCUCCAGGCUCAACCUGGAGACGCCAUCUGAUACUGCCGUGGCUUGAGUCCGGUAGAGGAGCAGGGAAUUCCUGGUGUAGCGGUGAAAUGCGCAGAUAUCAGGAGGAACACCAGCGGCGAAGGCGCUGCUCUGGGCCGGUACUGACGCUGAGGAGCGAAAGCGUGGGGAGCGAACAGG
rnacentral:rRNA from 1 species